UGAGGAAUAUUGCGCAAUGGGGGCAACCCUGACGCAGCAACGCCGCGUGAGUGAGGAAGGUUUUCGGACCGUAAAGCUCUGUCGAGCGGGAAGAAAUGCAUGGUGGCUAAUAUCCAUCAUGCUUGACGGUACCGCUAAAGGAAGCACCGGCUAACUCCGUGCCAGCAGCCGCGGUAAUACGGGGGGUGCGAGCGUUGUUCGGAAUUAUUGGGCGUAAAGAGCGUGUAGGCGGCCGAAUAAGUCAGAUGUGAAAUCCCUGGGCUUAACCCAGGACGUGCAUUUGAAACUAUUCGGCUGGAGUAGGGGAGAGGAAAGUGGAAUUCCUGGUGUAGAGGUGAAAGUCGUAGAUAUCAGGAGGAACACCGGUGGCGAAGGCGACUUUCUGGCCCUAUACUGACGCUGAGACGCGAGAGUGUGGGUAGCAAACAG
rnacentral:rRNA from 1 species